rnacentral:rRNA from 1 species
UUAUCGGUACGGGUUGUGGGAGCAAGAUCCUGGAGAUGGAUUCUGAGACAUGAAUCCAGGCCCUACGGGGCGCAGCAGGCGCGCAAACUUUACAAUGCGAGCAAUCGUGAUAAGGAAACCCUGAGUGCCUGUCGAUGCAGGCUGUUCAUAUAUUUAAAUUGUAUGUGAAGAAAGGGCAGGGCAAGACCGGUGCCAGCCGCCGCGGUAAUACCGGCUGCUCGAGUGAUGGCCACUAUUACUGGGUUUAAAGCGUCCGUAGCUUGAUUUUUAGGUCUCUUGGGAAAUCUUUUGGCUUAACCACAAGGCGUCUAAGAGAUACCGGGAAUCUUGGAACUGGGAGAGGUAAGCCGUACUUCGGGGGUAGGAGUGAAAUCUUGUAAUCCUCGAGGGACGACCUAUGGCGAAGGCAGCUUACCAGAACAGCUUCGACAGUGAGGGACGAAAGCUGGGGGAGCAAACGGGAUUAGAUACCCCGGUAGUCCCAGCCGUAAACAAUGUGCGUUAGGUGUGUCGGUUAUCACGCGUAACUGAUGCGCCGAAGAGAAAUCGUGAAACGCAUCACCUGGGAAGUACGGUCGCAAGGCUGAAACUUAAAGGAAUUGGCGGGGGAGCACCACAACAGGUGGAGCCUGCGGUUUAAUUGGAUUCAACGCCGGA